AUGGCACCCGGACCGGCCUCCCGCGCACACAUAGAGGAACGGGGCCCUUGCCUUCGUCCCCGGCCGGCCUCUCCUUCCUCCGUCCCGUUCGCCUCCUCCCUCAACCACGCCGGCCACCGGAGCCGUUGCCGGCUGCUGCCCUCCGUCGCGCCAUCCAUCCGUCCAUCUCCCUGUGCCGCGCCUCGACAACACGAAGGCCCGAGCUUCGGCUGGGAGCAGCCGCAGCUACGUGGCGCCCCGCCACCAAGCAGUCGUGCAUCAACGACCAUCUCUCCUCCACCAUCAGUGCCCGGCGACUCCGUUCCGUGCCUUGCUGCUGCUGCAGGCCAUGAGCUCUCCGGCUACCGCAGGAACGCCAUGGUCAAGACCACCUCCGCGAGGAACGCAAGACGCAUCCUCCGUGCACCCCCGCCUGUGGCUGUUAACGUCAAGACAAUCUCGGUUUUCGCCAAGCACCACCACCGGCAAGUACAACUACACCACGUUGAUACAAGUCCCACUACCGUCGCCUCCGGAAGCCUCGGAUCCGUCAAGUCCCUCGACGACAAGUGCAUGACUAUGCGGAUUGUACGAAGUACCCCUUUCGAGUUGACGGGAUCGGCAAGUGUGAAACACCAAGUACCACGACGACCAUCGACAUGUACCCCUACACCACACGGAAACGCCAAGUACCCCUCAUGUCGGCAAGACCCGCAAGUCGGACCCCGAACGAUCGACGACUCGUGGACCGUGUACAACUACCGUCGCCCCGAGGAUGUUGGAUUCGUUAAGUACCUCACCGAAAACGAAAUGUAUACCGCUACCGUCACAAGAAUCAAGACCGACAAGUCUGAAGAUGCAAGUACCACUCCGAACCAUUUACGACGACCGUCGCCGAAGACCCGUGUAACGCAAAUGUCAAGUUCAACUACCGUCGCGUGA
rnacentral:rRNA from 1 species